rnacentral:rRNA from 1 species
GACGUAGGGCGCGAGCGUUGUCCGGAUUUAUUGGGCGUAAAGAGCUCGUAGGCGGCUUGUCGCGUCGAUCGUGAAAACUUGGGGCUCAACCCCAAGCCUGCGGUCGAUACGGGCAGGCUCGAGUUCGGUAGGGGAGACUGGAAUUCCUGGUGUAGCGGUGAAAUGCGCAGAUAUCAGGAGGAACACCGAUGGCGAAGGCAGCUCGCUGGGACGGUACUGACGCUGAGGCGCGAAAGCGUGGGGAGCAAACAGG